rnacentral:rRNA from 1 species
GGCCUUGACAUGCAGAGAACUUUCCAGAGAUGGAUUGGUGCCUUCGGGAACUCUGACACAGGUGCUACAUGGCUGUCGUCAGCUCGUGUCGUGAGAUGUUGGGUUAAGUCCCGUAACGAGCGCAACCCUUGUCCUUAGUUACCAGCACGUUAUGGUGGGCACUCUAAGGAGACUGCCGGUGACAAACCGGAGGAAGGUGGGGGAUGACGUCAAGUCAUCAUGGCCCUUACGGCCUGGGCUACACACGUGCUACAAUGGUCGGUACAAAGGGUUGCCAAGCCGCGAGGUGGAGCUAAUCCCAUAAAACCGAUCGUAGUCCGGAUCGCAGUCUGCAACUCGACUGCGUGAAGUCGGAAUCGCUAGUAAUCGUGAAUCAGAAUGUCACGGUGAAUACGUUCCCGGGCCUU